UGCGGGGUAGAGCAGUUGGUAGCUCGUCGGGCUCAUAACCCGGAGGUCGCAGGUUCGAGUCCUGUCCCCGCUA
rnacentral:tRNA from 2 species